GAGAAAAACAUAAUUGGCGUUAAAUGUACCGACCAUUUACUUUCUCUCUCCUAAAAAAGCAUACUUGUCUUUCCUGAGGAACAAUUAACCACUGAUCACCCUUUCCGCUGGUUCUUCUUCUUUCUAUCUCCAACUUCUUGGUUUUUCCAUAUUUGUUCAAGAUUCGCUUUUGCUUUUUCUUCUUCUAAAAUCAAUAACCUUUUAAUAACAUAAACAUAAUAAUACCAUCUUUUCUUUUUUUUUUUGUCAAUUUGCUUUUACAAGCAUGGGUUCUAUUUCUUUCGCUAAUUAUCAAACCCUGAAGCUAUUCCCUUCAUUCAACUCUUUUCUUCAUCCCAAGCCACCCGGCAUUGUCUCCUUGUACCAUCAUUCCCAUAAAGUAGUACUUCCGUUGUCCCUUCCCCCAAGAGGAGCUCUUUUCCCCGUGCUGCUGGACUCAUCGCCAACUCUGUUCCCAAACGGAAAUUAUACUGUGGCUGAUUUUAUGACCAGAAAGGAGGAUCUACAUGUUGUCAAAACUACAACAAGUGUGGAUGAAGGCAUUACUGAUACUUGAGAACCCUACUUAUUCACCAUGUUAUGUUUUUUUUUUUUCUUGUUUAAUUUUGUAUUGAAUUCUGCAAUUGCAGCAUUGGAGGCACUUGUGGAGAAAGAGUUAAUGGUUUCCCCGUGACUGAUGAUGAAUGGAAAUUGGUAACUUUUUAAGUAGUUUUACAUUUUUUUCUUCAUUUAUAACAUAAGUUUUCGUGUUCUUUUUAAAAUCGUUUACAAAAUGUUGUCUGAUCCUAUGUUUGAUACCUCACAUAUGGACUAUGAUCUUGUUUGUUUACUUCGUCUGAGGGGCAUUUAUGGUUUCUUGGAGAGAUUGGUUUGACUGAGAGGAACUUAUGACAUUCGGACAUAUGGUUUCUUAUUGAUAUAUGGAUGCACAAAAUCACUAUUUUUGACUGGAGUUGGAAAAUGCUCUGUUGUUAAUGAUCAUGGUUUCUUCGGAUGGCUAUGUAUUUGUUUCUUAGAGAAAAAGGUUGGCGUUGUAUCUGAUUAUGAUUUGUUGGCACUUGACUCUAUUUCAG